UACGUAGGGGGCAAGCGUUAUCCGGAAUUACUGGGUGUAAAGGGUGCGUAGGUGGUAUGGCAAGUCAGAAGUGAAAACCUAGGGCUUAACUCUGGGACUGCUUUUGAAACUGUCAGACUGGAGUGCAGGAGAGGUAAGCGGAAUUCCUAGUGUAGCGGUGAAAUGCGUAGAUAUUAGGAGGAACAUCAGUGGCGAAGGCGGCUUACUGGACUGAAACUGACACUGAGGCACGAAAGCGUGGGGAGCAAACAGG
rnacentral:rRNA from 1 species